CCCUUAGAUGUCCUGGGCCGCACGCGCGCUACACUGAGUGUCUGAGAUACGAGUCUGCCUGGUCCGGCAAGGUCUAGGUAAUCGCUAAAAGACACAUCAUGCUUGGGAUAGAUUAUUGCAAAUAUUAAUCUUGAACGAGGAAUUCCUAGUAAACGCAAGUCAUCAGCUUGCAUUGAUUACGUCCCUGCCCUUUGUACACACCGCCCGUCGCUCCUACCGAUUGAAUGAUCCGAUGAAUACCAUGGAUUGAGAGUACGAAUAGGUUCGCUUAUUUCUGCUGCUCGAGAAGUGGAGUAAAUCUUAUCAUUUAGAGGAAGGAGAAGUCGUAACA
rnacentral:rRNA from 1 species